GGUCCAGACUUUGAUUAUGGCUCAGGAUGAACGCUAGCUACAGGCUUAACACAUGCAAGUCGAGGGGCAUCAGCUUGGUUUGCUUGCAAACCAAAGCUGGCGACCGGCGCACGGGUGAGUAACACGUAUCCAACCUGCCUCAUACUCGGGGAUAGCCUUUCGAAAGAAAGAUUAAUAUCCGAUAGCAUAUAUUUCCCGCAUGGGUUUUAUAUUAAAGAAAUUCGGUAUGAGAUGGGGAUGCGUUCCAUUAGUUCGUUGGGGGGGUAACGGCCCACCAAGACUACGAUGGAUAGGGGUUCUGAGAGGAAGGUCCCCCACAUUGGAACUGAGACACGGUCCAAACUCCUACGGGAGGCAGCAGUGAGGAAUAUUGGUCAAUGGACGCGAGUCUGAACCAGCCAAGUAGCGUGAAGGAUGACUGCCCUAUGGGUUGUAAACUUCUUUUAUAUGGGAAUAAAGUUGUCCACGUGUGGAUUUUUGUAUGUACCAUAUGAAUAAGGAUCGGCUAACUCCGUGCCAGCAGCCGCGGUAAUACGGAGGAUCCGAGCGUUAUCCGGAUUUAUUGGGUUUAAAGGGAGCGUAGGCGGAUUGUUAAGUCAGUUGUGAAAGUUUGCGGCUCAACCGUAAAAUUGCAGUUGAUACUGGCAGUCUUGAGUGCAGUAGAGGUGGGCGGAAUUCGUGGUGUAGCGGUGAAAUGCUUAGAUAUCACGAAGAACUCCGAUUGCGAAGGCAGCUCACUGGAGUGUAACUGACGCUGAUGCUCGAAAGUGUGGGUAUCAAACAGGAUUAGAUACCCUGGUAGUCCACACAGUAAACGAUGAAUACUCGCUGUUUGCGAUAUACAGUAAGCGGCCAAGCGAAAGCAUUAAGUAUUCCACCUGGGGAGUACGCCGGCAACGGUGCAACUCAAAUGAAUUGACGG
rnacentral:rRNA from 1 species